GCUGGGCACGGUGGCGUGUGCCUGUAGUCCCAGCAACUCAGGAGGCUGAAGCUGGAGGAUCGCUUGAAUCCAGGCAUUCUGGGCUGUCAUGCACUAUGAUGAUCAGGUGUCCAUGCUGUCUGGCAUCAAUCUGGUGACCUCCAGGGAGCAGGGGACCACCAGGCUGCCUAAGGAGGGAUGAACCAGCCCAGGUCGGAAACAGAGCAGGUCUUUCAAUGUCUGGCUCUGUCUCUUCCUUUCUCUCUGUAGCUGUUUCAAAUAAAUGAAUAAAUCUUUUU
ensembl:misc_RNA Metazoa_SRP Metazoan signal recognition particle RNA